AUUGAACGCUAGCGGCAUGCCUUACACAUGCAAGUCGAACGGAUUGGCGACCGGGUGAGUAAUGUAUCGGAACGUGCCCAGUAGUGGGGGCUAACUACGCGAAAGCGUAGCUAAUACCGCAUACUAUCGGAGCGGCCUAGAUCGGAUUAGCUAGUUGGUGGGGUAAAGGCCCACCAAGGCGACGAUCCGUAGCUGGGUUGAGAGGAUGACCAGACACACUGGGACUGAGACACGGCCCAGACUCCUACGGGAGGCAGCAGUGGGGAAUAUUGGACAAUGGGGGAAAGCCUGAUGCAGCCAUGCCGCGUGUGGGAUGAAGGCCUUCGGGUUGUAAAGCACUUUUAGUAGGAAAGCGGUACCUGCAGAAUAAGCACCGGCUAACUACGUGCCAGCAGCCGCGGUAAUUC
rnacentral:rRNA from 1 species